AGCCGGAUGAUUGCAUCCUUGUCGAACAGAUAGUCGACGCUCUCCGGACCUUGUCCAUGGCCGCCCUUGAUCAGGACCGCGGGACAUCCCAUCGCCAGCAACCGCCUGCCCUGCCGCUCNNNNNNNNNUCCGGCGAUGGUUUCACCUAGAAGCGCGGCGGCCUCCGGCAGGUUCGGGGUGAUCAGGCUCGCGCGCGGAAACAGCUUGUCCGCAGGGCAUCGACCGCAUCGGGU
rnacentral:misc_RNA from 1 species